rnacentral:rRNA from 1 species
GACGAACGCUGGCGGCGUGCUUAACACAUGCAAGUCGAACGGAAAGGCCCUGCUUUUGUGGGGUGCUCGAGUGGCGAACGGGUGAGUAACACGUGAGUAACCUGCCCUUGACUUUGGGAUAACUUCAGGAAACUGGGGCUAAUACCGGAUAGGAGCUCCUGCUGCAUGGUGGGGGUUGGAAAGUUUCGGCGGUUGGGGAUGGACUCGCGGCUUAUCAGCUUGUUGGUGGGGUAGUGGCUUACCAAGGCUUUGACGGGUAGCCGGCCUGAGAGGGUGACCGGCCACAUUGGGACUGAGAUACGGCCCAGACUCCUACGGGAGGCAGCAGUGGGGAAUAUUGCACAAUGGGCGGAAGCCUGAUGCAGCAACGCCGAGUGCGGGAGGACGGCCUUCGGGUUGUAAACCGCUUUCGCCUGUGACGAAGCGUGAGUGACGGGAAUGGGUAAAGAAGCACAGGAGAACUACGU